UACGUAGGGUGCAAGCGUUAAUCGGAAUUACUGGGCGUAAAGCGCACGCAGGCGGUCUGUCAAGUCGGAUGUGAAAUCCCCGGGCUCAACCUGGGAACUGCAUUCGAAACUGGCAGGCUAGAGUCUUGUAGAGGGGGGUAGAAUUCCAGGUGUAGCGGUGAAAUGCGUAGAGAUCUGGAGGAAUACCGGUGGCGAAGGCGGCCCCCUGGACAAAGACCGACGCUCAGGUGCGAAAGCGUGGGGAGCAAACAGG
rnacentral:rRNA from 1 species